UCCACAGGAACGCUUUGUUGUAAAAUCACAGACAUGUUGUCACCGGGGCUGUGUACUUUGUUCUGAAACAUUACCUAAAAGAUAAGGUGAACGUCACUGGAUAGUUGCCUUACACUGAAGAGACCUGUUUCGCUGAAGAGACCUGUUUCGCUGAAGAGACCUGUUUCACUGAAGAGACCUGUUUCGCUGAAGAGACCUGUUUCACUGAAGAGACCUGUUUCGCCGAAGAGACCUGUUUCACCGAAGAGACCUGUUUCGCCGAAGAGACCUGUUUCACUGAAGAGACCUGUUUCGCUGAAGAGACCUGUUUCACGAGGUCAGGGGUGAAGGAUCAAGGAAUUGUCUGAGAAGGUCUGACAGAGAUGCUGUCCAGUGUGGUAGAGGAGGUGAGGCUGGCUAUCCACAGUGACAUCAGUGGUCUGAAGUCCUCUACAGCCUUCUCAGUGCCCUGGCUACAGUUCCUACUCAAGGUCUACGAGUGUCUGCAGAAGUUCAGAAGGCUUCCACCCAGUCCCUACUUGCCUUAUGCCUCUGGUCUCUCUCACGAGGUCAGUCCACCCAGUCCCUACUUGCCUUAUGUCUCUGGUCUCUCUCACGA